AAACUCACUUCUCUUUCUUCUUCUUUCUUCCCUGUUCUUCUUCUUCCUGUUCUUUCUCUGUUUGAUCUCUGUUGAUUCUUGGUGAGUUAUGUGAGAAAUUAUCGAAGUAAACUGGAUGUCGAAGUUGUUUUAACGAUGAUGAGGAUGGUGUAGUUCUAAUUUGUAAAGAAGAACAAUUAAAGAUUGUUACAGUUUCGGGAUAAGUUUGAGAAGAUCAAAAUUAAGGUUUGGAAUGAAACUGGGUCGUUAAUGGAUGAAGAAUUGAAGGGUUGUUAUCGAAUUGACAAGGAGAAGUUGUUCUGAUGGUGAAUCGAAAAUCAGUUACUCCUUAUUAACAACGAUCGAUUUAAAAGACGAACCAGUGGAUUGUACAUCUCGAGGUAUGCGAGGCUUGUCAUCAAAAGAGUUUCAGUAUUCAGAAGAAAAGGUGCACGUGAAGAUAUUCGUUUCUGUAGCGUAAAGUUUCAGCGAAUUGAAGAUGUUUAUUUACAAAUUAUAUACGUAUACUUCUCUGUAAACAACACAUGGUUAUAUACAUAUCACAUGAGAGAUAUUCAUUUCUACUGUAUCAGAGUGUAUGGGUUUUCUUUUGGGCUUAGCUUAUGUAGUCUAGAUUCUUAAGAUCAUUAAUCUAGAAUUUAUGCUUCAA